GUGGUUCUAUUGGAGUUUCUGUGCGUCCUAUGUCACAAUCCUAUUGGUUUUGGUAGCAAUUCUCUGCAUCAACAGGCAAUGGCGCAUGUUAUGGUUUUACUUCAUUGAUGUUUGUAUUUAUUCAAUUUCUGUUUGGCUUUUUGAAACUGAAUUCUAACAAUAAAACUAUCUAGGGUCCAUGCAAAAAUGUAGGCUUUUGCUA
rnacentral:misc_RNA from 1 species